rnacentral:rRNA from 1 species
GACGAACGCUGGCGGCGUGCCUAAUACAUGCAAGUAGGACGCAGUUGCGAACGGGUGAGUAACGCGUAGGUAACUACCUAUUAGAGGGGGAUAACUAUUGGAAACGAUAGCUAAUACCGCAUACUAGUAGAUGGACCUGCGUUGUAUUAGCUAGUAGGUAGGGUAAUGGCCUACCUAGGCAACGAUACAUAGCAGACAGGUGAGGGGGAUCGGCCACAAUGGUACUGAGAGGCGGCCCAGACUCCUCCGGGAGGUAGCAGUAGGUACUCUUCGGCAAUUGGGGGAACCCUGACCGAGCAACGCCGCGUAAGUGAAGAGGGUUUUCGGAUCGUAAAGCUCUGUUGUUAAUGAAGCGGUACUUAACCAGAAAGGGACGGCUAACUACGUGCCAGCAGCCGCGGUAAUUC